rnacentral:rRNA from 1 species
UACAAGUACCCGUGAUGGAAAGUUGCAAAGAACUUUGAAGAGAGAGUUAAACAGUACGUGAAACCGAAUAAGUGGAAGCGAGUAGAGUUAUCGUAAGGUAGCUGUAAUAAGCCGUUUGGUAAUUCCAUUGCGUUGUGCUCAUGUCUCGGCAACGAGGGUGGUGCGAUGUAUUUGGUGUACCAAUGGUGCACUUGCAGUUACUGCGCUGGCUGCUUUGAGGCGGCGGCAUUAAGUUCAUGUCGGGGGUAACGCUUGCGUUAUGCACUGCAUGGAUGGAAGGUUGUCUGCUUUAAAGUUCUGCUUAGCCAAAGGUAGAUAAGUUGAUACUAUGGAUUUUCUUGUCGUUAAUCGCAUGCGAUUGCGGCACUUGGGUCAAUGGUGUUGGCUUGUUGAAAAUUGGCGAGGCCAGUGUAAAAGAUAAUCACCUAUUCGUCCCGUCUUGAAACACGGACCAAGGAGUGUACCGUAUACGCGAGUCAUUGAGUGUAAAACUCAAAGGCGUAACGAAAGUAAAUGCACUUUCCGAGUGCUGAUAUGCGAUUGGUGGCAUUACGGUGUCGCCAAGCAGCAUAGCCCUGUCUCGAUUGCUUGCAAUGGGGCGGAGGUAGAGCGUAUGCGGUGUGACCCGAAAGAUGGUGAACUAUGCCUGAGCAGGAUGAAGCCGGAGGAAACUCUGGUGGAAGUCCGAAGCGGUUCUGACGUGCAAAUC